rnacentral:rRNA from 1 species
UACGGAGGAUCCAAGCGUUAUCCGGAUUCAUUGGGUUUAAAGGGUGCGUAGGCGGAAUGAUAAGUCAGUGGUGAAAUCCUGCGGCUUAACUGCAGAACUGCCAUUGAUACUGUCAAUCUUGAGUAUAUUUGAUGUGGGCGGAAUGUGUCAUGUAGCGGUGAAAUGCUUAAAUAUGACACAGAACACCGAUUGCGAAGGCAGCUCACAAAACUAUAACUGACGCUGAGGCACGAAAGCGUGGGGAUCAAACAGG